UUAAUACCGGAUAGAUCAAAGAAACUGGAAUGUUCUCUGGUCUAAAACUCCGGUGCCCAAGGAUGGGUCUGCGGCCUAUCAGGUAGUAGUGGGUGUAACGUACCUACUAGCCAGCGACGGGUAAGGGUUGUGAGAGCAAGAUCCCUGAGAUGGAUUCUGAGACAUGAAUCCAGGCCCUACGGGGUGCAGCAGGCGCGAAAACUUUACACUGCGGGAAACCGCGAUAAGGGGACCCCGAGUGCCAGCACAUAGUGCUGGCUGUCCUACUGUCUAAAUAACAGUGGUUAGCAAGGGCCGGGCAAGACCGGUGCCAGCCGCCGCGGUAACACCGGCGGCCCGAGUGGUAACCGUUUUUAUUGGGUUUAAAGGGUCCGUAGCCGGCUUACUAAGUCUCUUGGGAAAUCUGGCGGCUCAAUCGUCAGGCGUUCA
rnacentral:rRNA from 1 species